rfam:Eutrema salsugineum unplaced genomic scaffold scaffold_3, whole genome shotgun sequence.
AAACCAUGGUGUGGACACUGAUUGGUGUAGCUUCUAAACCUCUCCCAAGCUUCCCCAAAGCUUUCAUUGUUAUGUUGCUUGAAGCUUGAAAUUUGGUUUCUCAGCUU